CUUCCACAAAAAGACUCGAGCUGGCAGACUUCUUUUAGCCGCCUUGCUAGCUAGCUAGCUAGCCUCCUCGUUAGCAUGAUUCUCCUCGUUAGCUCACAGGCUCGUUUCGGCCGCGGGUCACUUUAUUAACUCUCAGAACGAGGUGGAGAAGGUUCUACCGGGCAGACUGAAGACUUCUCCGCACGAGUUGCAGGCUCCGCAGCAGACUCAACGGCAACAUGUCGGCGCUCUCCUCUGAGCGCAGCUGCCAGGAGCACCCCCGCCUGAGGACAAUGGGCAGCCAUCCAGCGAAGCAGCAGUAACCCAGGGUGACAGCCGAUGGAGCACAGGGAGGCACAGACAUCAGAUGGGAAAGCUGCCCUGGUGGUGGGACUGAGGCCGUGAGACCCUCGAUCCUUCUGGGUGGGCGAUCGGAGGGAUGAAGAGGUUGGAUGGACGGCAAAAUUCCUGUUCAUCGGCAGGUGACAUCCGUCAGGAGACAUAAGUCAACUGGGACGCAUUCCAUCAUCAGAUGUUUGGCAUACGUCGAGGUCUCCCGCCUUCACCAUUCCUGCAUGACACACUCUGCUGCUCGUGUGACUCACCUGGAAUUUAACACAGAGAAACCCACAAAGCCCAUGUCGAGCACGUGUGGACGUAUUUCAGCUGUUUUUUUGGUUUUCUCAGAAAACCAUUUUAAUGUCUAUCUUUCAUGUAAUUGUAACCAAAUUAAAUUGAAAAGAAUUGUUAUAUU